GUAUAUGGCUGUUGUAGCAGGUACAUUGUAAAGAAGCAUGAUUGUUUCUAGAAAUGCAAAAACAGGUGGCAAAAUUGUAAAACAUGUGGACAUUCCAAAGAAUAUUUGAUGAUGUUUUUAAAAGCCUUCAAGCUACAAGCCCUGGAUCCCUAAGAAUUGCUCACUGAAGCAAAAAACAUGGCAAGAUGUUGGGGAUCAAAGCUGAGUGAAGAGCAGACCUACAAAGCCUUGGUGGAAUAAUUCUUGAAAACAUGGCUGAUGAGGGAAGAAAAAGCAAAGAGUUGGAACUUUGGGAUCAAACCAUCCUAGGUGUCUAAUACAAGGUAAAUGAAAUGGUAAAGUAAAGUAUGUCUUUUUGUACUUAUUACAUACAUGAUUAAUUCAAUUUGAAUACACAAACACGUAAGGAUUCAAAAAAGUGAAUAGGCACAAGGGAAGAAUCUGGAAAGCAUACAAACAGCUAACAGUGUCUAACUUUCUAGAGUGAUGUUUCCAAUGGCUUGCCUUCAACUUUUAAUUUUAUACUUGUCUGAAAUUUCUAAAUGUUGAAAGUGAGAAAAGCUUACAUUCAAGAUUAUUUUUCUUAAAAAUCAAGAAACCAACAUAUACCAAUCUGUGGUUAAGAAAAGGGUAUAUCAAAAGAUGUAUUUUUCUUCUAAAAAUGUGCCCAAGUCUAUGUACAUGCAAGACUUAAAGGCCUCGGACUUAAUUUUUAUGAAAAUGUAAUAUUUCCAAAUUCUGCUUGUCAGAAAAUCCAGUUUUCUAAAGCAUAUUUGAUGUCAUAUGAAGAGGCUUAUGUGGUGUAAGACCUGAGAAAACAAUAAUAGAAGGAAGCAACUUGAAUGGCAAGGAUAUUCUAUGUGUAUCACCAAGUCCAAAGCCAUACCAACCGAUCCCGACAGCCUGCACACAUGUGCCCACACAUACACAAGUAUGUAAUAAAUGUAACAUAAAGGAGCAGAAUGCAAUAGGUCCAACAUUAGUGGCAUAUUUAUUGAGUCCCUGUGAAUUAAGAGUAUCAUUUUUUUUGCUCAAUUUACUGAUUCUUUUCCAGAUGCAAGUUAUUCUUACCAACAAUGAAGGAAUAUUAUGUGAUUUAACCAAAAAAAAAAAAUUAUCAGGUUGCUCAUUAAUAGUAAAUGCUGUUGGCAAGUACCCACUGUCCAAUGUUGAAUCAAAAACUCAUGACACCAAACUCCAUGUACAGUUUGAUGAGGAUGGCUGUUUAGAGUGUGUGUGUGAGUAUGUGUGUGUCGCAUUGUGCUGAGGAAUAUGGGGAUAUAAUGAUGAGAUGUAGACUAAAUCUAUUUAGCUCUUGGGAAUAAUUGUAUAUCACUUGUAAUAUUUAAACCAAUGUACUCAUCAGGCUUCUUUAAUAGUGGUUCCCUUGGGAAAGAGGGAUAUGGGAUAAAGUGUUUCCAUUUGUUCUUGACAGAUUGUGUAUUCUAAGAGAUUUUUCGAGAAUCCUCUAAUAUAUUUGUCAUUUGAGAGCCAAUCGGGACAAAUAUGUGCAGAAGAAGUUAUUGAUGUAAACCGGAUUUGUUGGCCAUUUGAGACCUAAUGUGUUUAUAUCUCUAACUGAUCACAGAAAAGAGGAUUCAGGACACCCUGUUUUGGAAAUCCUUGUGUGCUUGAGUGGGCAUUACUUGUGACUUCAGUGCACUUUAUGUAUGGCUAAUGUAUCUGGUAAUUUUGUAAGCAGGAAUGCUUAAUUCUAAGAAAUGCAUAAAAGAUGAGAGGCAACAUUAGAAAUUGGAAGUAUUCCAAGGAAUAUUUAAUGAUGUUUGCAAAGAACUCCAAACUAUAAUCGGUGAAGGAAGUGAUGUUUGAACAUUUGAGGUACGAGGGAACUAGGAUUUUAGGUUGAAAAAUACAUGAGCAAGAUGGGAGAAUGUAUAGCAUUAUAAGUUAUUUAGUUUUGAUUGGUACCAUUUAUUUUUGGCUUCAUAAUUUCUCAAAAUGUUAACAGGUUGCCAUCAUCAGGUGUCACUCUUAAUUCCUUGGGAGACCUCUUUCUAGAAUAAAAUGUAAAGAAAUUUCAAGCUGGGGAAAAUAUAUGUUGAUGUGGGACCAUGCAGUUUAUAUUAGGUUAUGCAGAAGAUUUGUGCAAAAUUGCACCCAAUAGAAGUCAAAUUAUAAUUAAGGAGAAAUGUGUGUGUGUGUAUGUGUGUGUGUGUGUGUAUAAAAUAAUGAGGCAAUAAGCAUUUUUUAUAAUGCAUUUACUAAACUGAAGACUUGAAAGUUUAUAUAAUAGUCUCAAAAUGCCCAGGAAUCAGGAGGAAAAAUUUCUUAUGUAAACCAUAAUGUAACAUCCAAUUUUAAUAUAAAUUUAUUGUGUAUGAAUGUAAAUAUAGAAGUCUGUGUAUUGGGAGGAGUGGAAAGACAUAAUCCAAAAGGUUAUCAGUGGUCAUAACAAGUUUUAUGGCAGUACUUUACCCUUGAUCAGCACAUGGUUAUUUUUGAAUCCUUGGCAAACAUAGUUACUGAGGAAAAUGGUUUUAAGACUGACCUCUUGAGAGAUAAAUGGUAAUACGUAUACACUUACACCCUCAUCAGUAAAGUCCUAGGAGAGCAAUUGAAGGCCAUUUAGUGACACGGGAAAGUGCUUGUGUUCCAAAUGGUAAAUGAAAGCAUGAGACAAAAUUCUGAGUAACCUCUGAUUGGAAUAUAUAUAUAUAUUAUGCGGGGCACUGGAUGGCAUACAGCAAUGAGAGUAGUGUGGGCCCUCCUCUUAAGGCCCCAGUCAAAUGGCUGCCAACCAUUCAACACAUGCCUUCAUCUUUACCCAGAAAAUGGAGACAUUCCUGAGAUCAUUAGAGAUGAGCCAGGCAAGGAAACAUGGAUUGAUACCUAGAGAGACCCUCCUAGUUGAAUUUCCAGCAUUUUCUUUUUCUGUUUAGGCCAGGAUCCGUGAGAACUGCCCCCAGAACUAGACAGAAUUGACCUCGGGGAAAAUGCUGUAGAUGUAAUGCUGAGUGAACCAGAACAAAACUAUGAAGACUGGGCCUAGUGGAAAUUGAAUUCUUAAAGGAGAAGGUGCCUGAUAAAGGUGGUUACUUCUGGACCUCAGUUUGAUUUCUGAUGAAAGCCAAAGCUAAAGUGCCUCAGUGUGAGCAGGUUUUCUUAAACUGGGCAAGAUACAAGGUAACCGUAUUUUCUGGCCCCUUCGCCUCUUUUUUUUCCAGACGGGAUGGGCGGGAGAAGAGGGCCUGGGGGAAGGGUACCGAAUAUUUGUUGGCAAAACUAGUGCACUACUGCCAUCCUGAGGAAAUCAUUUAAAAACAACUUACGCCGUUU